rnacentral:lncRNA from 1 species
GAACCGAUAUCGCGAUACUGCACUCCAGCCUGGGCGACAGAGCGAGACUACCUCUCAAAAAAAAAAAAAAAAAGUGUUAGAAUGCCUAUUAGCUGCAUGAGGGGAAACAGUAACCAGAAAGUAGAGGACUGGACAACAUCUGGACCAAGGGAUCAAAAUUAAUAUCAAUAAUCCCUAGAAUCAGGCGUUUCUUUAAGAGGCCCUACUUCCUCUAAUUGGAUAAUUCUAGAAACCAGUAUUUGAAUCUGAGGUUUAACUAAAGAGAAUACCUUCUACUGAUGUAACAGCAAUGGUAACUGGUAUAAAAGCAAAAGCAUAUGGAAAGAAGAAAACACAACAAAGGCCACUUAUUGAAAUAAAACCUAUUAAAAAUGUA